AACGUAGGUCGCGAGCGUUAUCCGGAGUUACUGGGCGUAAAGCGCGCGCAGGCGGCCUGACAAGUCUGAUGUGAAAUCACCCGGCUCAACCGGGCGAGGCCAUUGGAAACUGACAGGCUGGAGGGCAGUAGAGGUAGGCGGAAUUCCGGGUGGAGUGGUGAAAUGCGUAGAGAUCCGGAGGAACACCAGAGGCGAAGGCGGCCUACUGGGCUGCACCUGACGCUGAGCCGCGAAAGCCAGGGGAGCGAACGGG
rnacentral:rRNA from 1 species